AUGACGGUUGCGGCGAACGCCGGUGCUGCUCCUCAUUCUCGACCUUCAAGGAGGAGCGCUGGUACAGCAGAAGGACGCCCUGCCCCUGAACAAUGGCCAUGGCGCCAGGACGUCCUCCUCCUUGAUGCGGCUGUCCCCAACGAGCUCUCUUCGCCGGAGGAGGUGGAGCAGCAUGUCCAGCACCCCCUUGGCCUCCUAUCAUGCAGCACAUGGACGAGCUCACUGACAACUGCGUUCUGCCCUCCUAGUGUGAUAUUGGUUAUGGGAGCAUUUUUAACAAGAAAGACAUGCGUUUUGACAACUUUGGCAUGA
rnacentral:rRNA from 1 species